AAAGAAGAACUUGCCAUGGUAGAAGACUCU
rnacentral:piRNA from 1 species